rnacentral:rRNA from 1 species
ACCGUGCUCUCUUCAUUACCCACAUCCACUCUGAGUACCCUUCCUGUUGCUUCCGUGGGGUUGGGCGAAAUACGCGUGUCGCCUUUCAUUCCAGGGAAUUUCGAUUUCCUCGGGGUACCUCACGGGAGGGAAACAUCAAACACAAUUGAUUACCGAGAGGAAUUGGUCUGAGCUUGCGUUUGAAGAAGAAGAAUUAAAACUUUCAGCAACGGAUCUCUUGGUUCUCGCAUCGAUGAAGAACGCAGCGAAAUGCGAAAAGUAGUGUGAAUUGCAGAAUUCCGUGAAUCAUCGAAUCUUUGAACGCACAUUGCGCCUCGUAGUGUUCUGCGAGGCAUGCCUGUUUGAGCGUCAUUGUCAACCCCUUCAAGUCCCAUGGCUUGGUAAUGGUGGAUGGGUGCUGUCAAAGGUUCUCACUGCUGAAAUUGAAUGGCGGACUAUCCGCUGUUGCCUGGGGCGUCGUAGGAGUAAAAACCCUCGCCUCGGCAGCUGGGUGCAGUUCUGUCUGGAAACANUUAAAAUAUAUUCAAGUUGACCUCAAAUCAGGCAGGGA